rnacentral:rRNA from 1 species
GAAAGCCUGACGGAGCAAUACCGCGUGAGGGACGAAGGCCUGUGGGUUGUAAACCUCUUUUGUUAGGGAAGAUAAUGACGGUACCUAACGAAUAAGCAUCGGCUAACUCCGUGCCAGCAGCCGCGGUAAGACGGAGGAUGCAAGCGUUAUCCGGAAUUAUUGGGCGUAAAGCGUACGUAGGCUGUUUCAUAAGUCUGUUGUCAAAGCCCGAGGCUCAACCUUGGAUCGGCAAUGGAAACUGUGAGACUAGAGAGAGAUAGGGGCAGGAGGAAUUCCAGGUGUAGCGGUGAAAUGCGUAGAUAUCUGGAAGAACACCAGUGGCGAAAGCGUCCUGCUGGAUCUCAACUGACGCUGAAGUACGAAAGCUAG